rnacentral:rRNA from 1 species
GACGAACGCUGGCGGCGUGCUUAACACAUGCAAGUCGAGCGAUGAAAUUCUCUUCGGAGAAUGGAUUAGCGGCGGACGGGUGAGUAACACGUGGGUAACCUGCCUUAUAGUGGGGGAUAGCCUUUCGAAAGGAAGAUUAAUACCGCAUAAGCGCACAGUACCGCAUGGUACAGUGUGAAAAACUCCGGUGGUGUGAGAUGGACCCGCGUCUGAUUAGCUAGUUGGUGGGGCAACGGCCUACCAAGGCGACGAUCAGUAGCCGGUCUGAGAGGAUGAACGGCCACAUUGGAACUGAGACACGGUCCAAAACUCCUACGGGAGGCAGCAGUGGGGGAUAUUGCAC